GACAUCAUCGGGGUCGCGAUUAGGACAGUGAACGACUUUUGGGUUUACCAAAUUCUUGCCGUUAUUCGAAUCGUAUCAUAACAGUGACCUAGUUUUGUUUCUAUGUGAAAUUUUUCAGAUCUUGAUGUACUUCGUAAUGCCGCGUGGUUUCCUCACAGUUAAUGUCUUGUUAUAGCAAAUAGUGGACGUGUUCCAGCUAGGUAUGCCUUGUGUUGCAACGUUCUUCGCACCCGUUUGGCAUAUUUAAAUUUCGCAUGGGCAAUUUAUAAACUUAUUUUUAUCCACAUGAAAAUGAUUGCUUCACCUGUGUAUGGCGUUACAGAUGGUUCUUUGGGUCGCUGGUCGUCGUGAAAUUGACCUCCCUCCUCCUCCUCCUCCUCCUCCUCCUCCUCCUCCUCCUCCACGCAAUAUCUGCUCUUUGGUGGACAUGGCGACCAUAUGUGGAUGAAGACGUACAUGGAGAAUGCUGUAACAGGCCUGAAGUAACUACCUCGAGAAUUGAUGAAAUAUGUAGCGGUACUUACUCUUUCGCACACAGCUCUAAGGGACUGAAUGAGGAGGGCAGAUAUCAAGUAAUCUUGUAUUUUAUAAAGAACUGGACCACCAUAGCACCCUACAAUUGUGCACUCAUUGGCUUUUGGUGAAGGUUGGCAAAAAUGACGAAGUGUAUCAUCAGUUUUGUGGUCAAAAGAAGAAGGGUUCAAUUAUUUGAAGAAUACAAUUGUUUGCCAGUCAUGUAAAGAAUGCAAAAUAUUGAAGGUUUAUCUUAGUUUAUAUAACUGAAUGUCUCCUGACCAGGCACUGUCAUCAGCAGAUAAGUAAAAAAAGACAUGAAGGAGAGGAAGGCCUAAAGAAGAUGGAGGGCAGCACUCAAGAGAAUAAACAAAAUAAAGAUAUAUAAAUGAAAGUAGGACAGCAGAAACAUCUGCAAAAGGCUCAUUCAACACAGCAACACUGACUAAGGAUUGAGCUGGGAAGGAGAGGAUUACUGGAAUUCUUUCCCAUCUGGAUGUUUGCAAAGUAACUGGUUCUUUUGUUUUCUGAACAGGUAACUGAAAUUGGAAGGUUAAUUUUUUUGUACAAAAGAUAAUUAUAAUUAAGACCUUUGAUUAAAAAAAAUGUCCUGCUUGGCAAUCUUCCACAAUUUUAGGGUUACUACCUUCUUAAGUUUAUGAUUAUUAUUUGUUCAAUAUCCUCAUUCUGUUGUGUAAAACUGGUGUCACACCGCUAAGUAACAGAGCCUCCCCUUUAAUUAACAUAAAACUGAAGUCUUUGGCACUGCCAUGGAUGCUGAUGUUUAUCUGGAAUCCACACCAUAGUGUCAUUUCCCAGUAACCUAUUCUUUGAGUUUACUUCUGUUAUAUAUUUGUAUUAGUCUAGUUAUUUCCUCUUAGCUCUUUUUUGACUUUUUUUUUCUCCAUAUAAGGAUUCUAGUUAGUGAAAGCUUGAAUAGAAAGCCAGUGAGUGCUUUAAAAAUAAAGUUAAGCACACAGAUUAAGAAACAUAUUUGAUAGAAGUAGACAAUGUGCAUAACCUCAAGA